GACGAACGCUGGCGGCGUGCCUAAUACAUGCAAGUAGAACGCUGAAGAGAGGAGCUUGCUCUUCUUGGAUGAGUUGCGAACGGGUGAGUAACGCGUAGGUAACCUGCCUUGUAGCGGGGGAUAACUAUUGGACACGAUAGCUAAUACCGCAUAACAAUGGAUGACACAUGUCAUUUAUUUGAAAGGGGCAAUUGCUCCACUACAAGAUGGAUCUGCGUUGUAUUAGCUAGUAGGUGAGGUAAUGGCUCACCUAGGCGACGAUACAUAGCCGACCUGAGAGGGUGAUCGGCCACACUGGGAAUGGGACACGGCCCAGACUCCUACGGGAGGCAGCAGUAGGGAAUCUUCGGCAAUGGGGGCAACCCUGACCGAGCAACGCCGCGUGAGUGAAGAAGGUUUUCGGAUCGUAAAGCUCUGUUGUAAGUCAAGAACGGGUGUGAGAGUGGAAAGUUCACACUGUGACGGUAGCUUACCAGAAAGGGACGGCUAACUACGUG
rnacentral:rRNA from 1 species